rnacentral:rRNA from 1 species
ACUCAAAGGAAUUGACGGGGGCCCGCACAAGCGGUGGAGCAUGUGGUUUAAUUCGAUGCUACGCGAAAAACCUUACCUAGGCUUGACAUCCCGUGCUACCCCGUGAAAGCGGGGGUCCUCUUCGGAGGCGCGGAGACAGGUGCUGCAUGGCUGUCGUCAGCUCGUGUUGUGAGAUGUUGGGUUAAGUCCCGCAACGAGCGCAACCCUCGUCACUAGUUACCAGCAUUAAGUUGGGCACUCUAGUGAGACCGCUGAGCUAUAAGCCAGAGGAAGGUGGGGAUGACGUCAAGUCCUCAUGGCCUUUAUGUCUAGGGCAACACACGUGCUACAAUGGGAGGCACAAUACGUCGCAAGCGCGCGAGCGCAAGCUAAUCGUAAAAAACCUCCCUCAGUUCGGAUUGGAGUCUGCAACUCGACUCCAUGAAGCUGGAAUCGCUAGUAAUCGUGGAUCAGCACGCCACGGUGAAUACGUUCCCGGGCCUUGUACACACCGCCCGU